rnacentral:rRNA from 1 species
GAUGAACGCUGGCGGCGUGCCUAAUACAUGCAAGUCGAGCGAACGGACGAGAAGCUUGCUUCUCUGAUGUUAGCGGCGGACGGGUGAGUAACACGUGGAUAACCUACCUAUAAGACUGGGAUAACUUCGGGAAACCGGAGCUAAUACCGGAUGAUAUUUUGAACCGCAUGGUUCAAAAGUGAAAGACGGUCUUGCUGUCACUUAUAGAUGGAUCCGCGCUGCAUUAGCUAGUUGGUAAGGUAACGGCUUACCAAGGCAACGAUGCAUAGCCGACCUGAGAGCGUGGUCGGCCACACUGGAACUGAGACACGGUCCAGACUCCUACGGGAGGCAGCAGUAGGGAAUCUUCCGCAAGGGGCGAAAGCCUGACGGAGCAACGCCGCGUGAGUGAUGAAGGUCUUCGGAUCGUAAAACUCUGUUAUUAGGGAAGAACAUAUGUGUAAGUAACUGUGCACAUCUUGACGGUACCUAAUCAGAAAGCCACGGCUAACUACGUG